rnacentral:tRNA from 1 species
GGGGCUUUAGUUUAAUGAUAGAAUACAUGCUUGACAUGUAUGAGAUUCUGGGUUCAAUCUCAAAACCACUG